ACUUACUGAGUAUGAUUUGUACAAUUGCCUUCCAAGUAAUAGGUUUAAGAUAUUCUUAAAGUAAGUA
rnacentral:tRNA from 1 species